rnacentral:misc_RNA from 1 species
UAGCCCCGUUCUCGUCCGUGA